AGCGUACAAGGUGGAUGCCUUGGCAAUCAGAGGCGAAGAAGGACGUGCUAAUCUGCGAAAAGCUUGGAUGAGUCGAUAAGAGGCGUUUAAUCCAAGAUGUCCGAAUGGGGAAACCCAGUAGAUGAAGAAUCUACUAUCACUUACUGAAUUCAUAGGUAAGUGAGGCGAACCGGGAGAACUGAAACAUCUAAGUACCCCGAGGAAAAGAAAUCAACCGAGAUUUUGUGAGUAGCGGCGAGCGAAAGCGAAAGAGCCUGUUAGUGAUAGCGAUAGAGACAGAGGAACAAGCUGGGAAGCUUGGCGACACAGGGUGAUAGCCCCGUACUCGAAGUCCAGGUCGUGGUACUAAGCUAACGAAAAGUAGGGCGGGACACGUGAUAUCCUGUUUGAAGAUGGGGGGACCAUCCUCCAAGGCUAAAUACUCCUGAUUGACCGAUAGUGAACCAGUACUGUGAAGGAAAGGCGAAAAGAACCCCGGUGAGGGGAGUGAAAUAGAACCUGAAACCUUGUACGUACAAGCAGUGGGAGCCCGCAAGGGUGACUGCGUACCUUUUGUAUAAUGGGUCAGCGACUUAUAUUUUGUAGCGAGGUUAACCGAAUAGGGGAGCCGAAGGGAAACCGAGUCUUAACUGGGCGUUGAGUUGCAAGGUAUAGACCCGAAACCCGGUGAUCUAGCCAUGGGCAGGUUGAAGGUUGGGUAACACUAACUGGAGGACCGAACCGACUAAUGUUGAAAAAUUAGCGGAUGACUUGUGGCUGGGGGUGAAAGGCCAAUCAAACCGGGAGAUAGCUGGUUCUCCCCGAAAUCUAUUUAGGUAGAGCCUUGAGCGGACACCUUCGGGGGUAGAGCACUGUUUCGGCUAGGGGUCCAUCCCGGAUUACCAACCCGAUGCAAACUACGAAUACCGAAGAGUGAUACUCAGGAGACACACGGCGGGUGCUAACGUCCGUCGUGGAGAGGGAAACAACCCAGACCGCCAGCUAAGGUCCCAAAGUCUAUAUUAAGUGGGAAACGAAGUGGGAAGGCUUAGACAGCUAGGAUGUUGGCUUAGAAGCAGCCAUCAUUUAAAGAAAGCGUAAUAGCUCACUAGUCGAGUCGGCCUGCGCGGAAGAUGUAACGGGGCUCAAAUAUAGCACCGAAGCUGCGGCAUCAGACGUAAGUCUGUUGGGUAGGGGAGCGUUGUGUAAGCGGAUGAAGAUGGUUCGAGAGGGCUGUUGGACGUAUCACAAGUGCGAAUGCUGACAUAAGUAACGAUAAAACGGGUGAAAAACCCGUUCGCCGGAAGACCAAGGGUUCCUGUCCAACGUUAAUCGGGGCAGGGUGAGUCGGCCCCUAAGGCGAGGCUGAAAAGCGUAGUCGAUGGGAAACGGGUUAAUAUUCCCGUACUUGGUAAAGCUGCGAUGUGGGGACGGAGCAGGUUAGGUUAGCGUACUGUUGGAUAUGUACGUUUAAGUUGGUAGGUGGGAAGUUUAGGCAAAUCCGGACUUCCUUAACACUGAGAGAUGAUGACGAGGCUCUACGGAGCUGAAGUAACUGAUACCACACUUCCAGGAAAAGCCACUAAGCGAAAGGCUUUACUAAACCGUACUGAAAACCGACACAGGUGGUCAGGUAGAGAAUACUCAGGCGCUUGAGAGAACUCGGGUGAAGGAACUAGGCAAAAUAGCACCGUAACUUCGGGAGAAGGUGCGCCGGCGUAGAUUGUAAGGGCUUGCCCCUGAAGGUUGAACCGGUCGAAGAUACCAGCUGGCUGCAACUGUUUAUUAAAAACACAGCACUCUGCAAACACGAAAGUGGACGUAUAGGGUGUGACGCCUGCCCGGUGCUGGAAGGUUAAUUGAAGAUGUGAGAGCAUCGGAUCGAAGCCCCAGUAAACGGCGGCCGUAACUAUAACGGUCCUAAGGUAGCGAAAUUCCUUGUCGGGUAAGUUCCGACCUGCACGAAUGGCAUAAUGAUGGCCAGGCUGUCUCCACCCGAGACUCAGUGAAAUUGAAAUCGCCGUGAAGAUGCGGUGUACCCGCGGCUAGACGGAAAGACCCCGUGAACCUUUACUAUAGCUUGACACUGAACAUUGAAUUUUGAUGUGUAGGAUAGGUGGGAGACUUUGAAGUAGUCACGCCAGUGAUUAUGGAGUCGUCCUUGAAAUACCACCCUUUAACGUUUGAUGUUCUAACGAAGAUUGCGAAACGCGGUCUCGGACAGUGUCUGGUGGGUAGUUUGACUGGGGCGGUCUCCUCCCAAAGCGUAACGGAGGAGCACGAAGGUUUGCUAAUCACGGUCGGACAUCGUGAGGUUAGUG
rnacentral:rRNA from 1 species